rnacentral:rRNA from 1 species
UACGUAGGUGGCAAGCGUUGUCCGGAUUUACUGGGCGUAAAGGGCGUGCAGGCGGUCGACUAAGUCUGGCGUGAAAGCUCUCGGCUAAACCGGGAGAGGUCGUUGGAUACUGGUUGACUAGAGGACGGUAGAGGCGUGUGGAAUUCCGGGUGUAGUGGUGAAAUGCGUAGAGAUCCGGAGGAACACCAGUGGCGAAGGCGACACGCUGGGCCGUACCUGACGCUGAUACGCGACAGCAUGGGGAGCGAACGGG